UACGUAGGGGGCGAGCGUUGUCCGAAGUUACUGGGCGUAAAGAGCGCGUAGGCGGGUCUUUAAGUGAGGGGUGAAAGGUUCAGGGCUCAACCCGGACACUGCCUUUCAUACUGGGGACCUUGAGUGCGGGAGAGGCGAGUGGAAUGGUCGGUGUAGCGGUGAAAUGCGUAGAUAUCGAUCGGAACACCCAUGGCGAAGGCAGCUCGCUGGCCUGCAACUGACGCUGAGGCGCGAAAGCGUGGGGAGCAAACAGG
rnacentral:rRNA from 1 species